UUUGGGAUAUCGCGCUGCAUUUCGAUAUCAAAAAAGUACUAAAAUACUGGAUGUUCCAUGCCUGUUGGAAGAGAGUAAUGGGGGAAAAAUGAAAUGUGUGUACAACAACAAUAUCCCAAGUCUACAUAAAAUGUAAUGUAUAGAAAAUGUUGUUGUUAAUGCUGCUGCUGCUGCGACUGCUAAUAUGUUGUUUUUGUUGUUGUUUUACAUACAAACCAACAAAAAUCUUGGAUGAAAACUGAAGUUUUUAGUUAUGCUGAAGAGCUCUGGCUAUUUAAACACGUUUUAAAAAGUUUUUGUUGUUGCUUUGUAAAAAAAUAUAAAAAAAUAAUAAAAAAUGUAUAUUAAAUAAAAUUUUAUGUAAAAAAUAAUAAUAAAUCUUUUUAACACUUUAUUAAGUUGCUAAUUGUGUUAUUAAUAUUAGAAAAGAUUUUACUUUUAUUAAACAAAAAGAAAAAAAAACUCGCUAACGCGUUUCGUAUCGAAAGUUCGAUAAAGUUUGUUUUAAUCAUAAAUAUAUAAAAUAUUAAGUGAUUAACAGUUAAAAAUUUAAACAGAAAAGAGUCUUAUAUUUUACUUCCACAAAACAUAUUCUUAUAAGAAAUAUAAACAUAUCACUAAAAAUUUACAACAAAUUUGAAAAAGAAAUUCCAAUUAAACUAAAACACUUGGCUUAAUUUAUUAUUCCAUCUGCUAACAGCAAGUUGUUUCUUUAAGUGUAAACACACCAAAAGAACGUAAGAAACAAAAAUAAACAAAAAUACUCAAGCAGCCCUACAUUGUGCAUAAAAUACAUAAAUUAUUUAACAAACUAAUCAAAACAAACUCAAGCAAAACAAUAAAAACAAGAGAAAAACAAAAUAAAAAACACAACUACAACUUGUCUUAUUAAAAUAUACAUUACAACAAAAACCAUAGAGUGAAAAAAACCAAAACAACAGCAACAUCUAUUUAGCAAAACACGACAGUAGAAGGCAGAAAAAAAACAACUUGACACGACCUCCCCAAAGUUUUUCUUAAUUGUGAGAGAGUAAGUGUUUAAAGAAGAAAAAAAGUUUGUGUACACACGAAUCUAGUUAUUUCUGUGCCGAACAGCCCCUGUCGUUUUUCCAACAACAAACCAA